CCUGAAAACCAUGCAUGAGUGAAGCCAUUAUGCCACCUCUAUAGACUGCUAUAUUAAUUCAAAUAGAACUGUAACUGUCAUGGCCCUGGCUGUGCCUCUAGUGUCCCCCCAUGUGUUUCCCGUGUUUUCCCUUUUCCUUGUGUUUCUUGUCCCGUUUGUCUCCUCAUGUGUUCUUGUUUGUGAGUGGCAGGCGUGGCUCCUCCUUCCUCCGGCUUCUCCCUGAUUACUCCUGAUGCACGGCAUCUGCUCUCAUCAGCGCACCUGCCAUCCAUCAUCCCAUCUUCCCCGGAUUACCAGCCACUCUUCGCCAGAUCGUUCAGUCAGCUACAUUGGUCAUCACCAUCUGGUUACCUCGGCCUGUCUGCCAAUCAGCCUGCUGCUCACACCACUCUCCUGUUAGACCGACUCCGUCACCGUUCCCCUACCUGCUCACCUGCCUCAUCCCCUCUGUUGCAAUAAAUCUCUUUCUACAU